CCUACGGGUGACAGCAGUGGGGAAUAUUGCACAAUGGGGGAAACCCUGAUGCAGCGACGCCGCGUGAGUGAAGAAGUAUUUCGGUAUGUAAAGCUCUAUCAGCAGGGAAGAAAAUGACGGUACCUGACUAAGAAGCCCCGGCUAACUACGUGCCAGCAGCCGCGGUAAUACGUAGGGGGCAAGCGUUAUCCGGAUUUACUGGGUGUAAAGGGAGCGUAGGGGGGAUGGUAAGCCAGAAGUGAAAAGCCCGGGCUCAACCCGGGGGAUUGCUUUUGAAACUGUCAGGCUGGAGUGCUGGAGGGGUAAGCGGAAUUCCUAGUGUAGCGGUGAAAUGCGUAGAGAUUAGGAGGAACACCGGUGGCGAAGGCGGCUUACUGGACCGAAACUGACGCUGAGGCUCGAAAGCGUGGGGAGCAAACAGGAUUAGAUACCCGAGUAGUC
rnacentral:rRNA from 1 species